CUUCAGAUCUGUUCGGUGACUUCUGUUACCUGGGAAAAUGUCCAUCCUUCCCCUCGUUGUUUAAACAGCUUCUCUCUGUCUUGGCCAGAAGAUGUGCGGGGGCUCCACGUGCUGCUCUUUGUGGCAUUAGAGGAAAACUUUGUGGGAGAGAAAUUGCCGGGGCUGAGGACCCCCCACCUGGGUCAACCCUUCCCUUCGGGUUCGCCCUGAGGCACCCCCUGUCUCCCCGUCUGUAAACUCCUCCGGGUCUGCUCGUGGGGAUCCUGGGAGGAGGACACGUCACCUCAUCCACCCUGCAGGCUCUCCAUGGAGACCUUCCCGGAGUCCAGGGCAUCCGAGGGAGAAAAUGCACUUGAGGAAACACGGACACCUCCUCGCUCACCUGGGGAGACCCAGGAACACUGAGUGACCCGCCAACCUGGCCUCUGCCCCUCUGCAAGGACAUCUUCAACCCUAGAGAAAGGACAGAGGAUGGGGAUCAGCCCUGGGGGGCAGUGGGGAGCCCAGCGACAAGGGUCCGAGUGGUGCGGUCCUAAGGGGCCGCCUCCCCCUGUGAUAAGGAACGGAGACAUUUGGACAAGUCCUUCCAACGUGACAACCUGGACGCCUCCUCUCGGGGAUGUUCCCUUACUCGUGGAAAUGAGUCUCACAAAAGGGCACCCUCCCGCCGCCUGUCGGAGCCCCUCCGUCUGACUCCCAGGAGCGCCCAGUCUUGCUGUGUCUACGCCCGAGCUGGUCAUCUUGUUGGAGCAAAAAAAAAUGGAGCCCUGGGAUGUGAAGAGAAGUGCAAAUCCUGUCCUCCUCCUAGGUAGGUGGAAUGAAUCCAGCAGAG